GGGAUAAUAGUAUAGUGGUCAGUACUUCUCGUUGUGGCUGUCACAAAACACCCGAGAGGACCCAGGUUCGAUUCCUGGUUAUCCCA